rnacentral:rRNA from 1 species
GACGAACCGAGCGAACGUUGUUCGGAAUCACUGGGCUUAAAGGGCGCGUAGGCGGGCUGCCAAGGUUGGGGUGAAAUCCUCCGGCUCAACCGGAGCAGUGCCUCGAAUACUGGCGGUCUCGAGGGAGGUAGGGGCGUGCGGAACUGUGGGUGGAGCGGUGAAAUGCGUUGAUAUCCACAGGAACUCCGGUGGCGAAGGCGGCACGCUGGACCUUUUCUGACGCUGAGGCGCGAAAGCCAGGGGAGCGAACGGG